UUCUUUGGUUUUUAUACAAAAACCAUGAUCUACAAAGAUUCAACUGUCCAAACUCAAAUCUGAUUUUGGAAACGUGAACUACGAAACCCGAUCUACAUUUCUACCGAUUGGUUUGAGGAUUUGUUAUGAGGAGCUUGCUAAACACUCUCCAAGUGUUGGAUUUACAUUUGGUGAAAUUUUUGUGAUACAUUGCAAUGUGGUGUUUAGGAGACCUAGUGAUUAAAUCCGCGUAGCCAAGGUG